rnacentral:rRNA from 1 species
UACAGAGGUCUCAAGCGUUGUUCGGAUUCAUUGGGCGUAAAGAGCUCGUAGGCGGUCUGUCGCGUCUGCUGUGAAAACUCAGGGCUUAACCCUGAGCUUGCAGUGGGUACGGGCAGACUAGAGUGCGGUAGGGGAGACUGGAAUUCCUGGUGUAGCGGUGAAAUGCGCAGAUAUCAGGAGGAACACCGGUGGCGAAGGCGGGUCUCUGGGCCGUAACUGACGCUGAGGAGCGAAAGCGUGGGGAGCGAACAGG